UAAGGCCUUUGAAAUUGAAACCUGGAAAUUGUUAAUAGAUGAAAUAAUCAACAGCUAGAACUUUAGAACUUAUGCAAGAAACACUCCCUCAAUGCCCAAGCAGAAUAAUGACAAGUAUAACUCAUUGCUUGGAAAAUUUUUCAAAAAAGCAAAUAAAGGGGAAAAAUUCUUUCUAAAAAUUUUUAUGGAUAUUUAUGGGCUACAAAAAAAGAACAGAUAAGAAAGAAAAAUUAUUAAGAGGUUACAGGUUGCAAUAUGAGAACCGAUCAGGAAUUUGUUUAAAAGAAAAAAAAAGAGAAUUCUUCCUGGAAUAGACAAGACAAAGUCACA
rnacentral:misc_RNA from 1 species